GGAUGAUACAGCAAAACUUCAAAAACAAGUCAUUGACACAUACAGCAACAACAAAUACUCCUACAGACUCUUCUAUUCCCAUGAUAACAACAUAGCUGUGUUUCUAUUCCUCUUGACUUCUAGGUGUUGUUUUUCCUGAGAAUAAAAGAUUAUAUCUAGAUCAUUGCUAUUUCAUAUGAAAAUGUGAAGGUACUAUGCAUUGAGAAAAAACAAC
rnacentral:lncRNA from 1 species